GACGAACGCUUGCGACGUGCCUGAGAAAUGCAAGUCGAGCGGCAGAUAGCCUUUCGGGGGUUGUCUGUAGCGGCGAACGGUCGAGUAACACGUAACCGACCUGCCCUUUGGUCUGGGAUAGCCCUCCGAAAGGGGGAGUAAUACCGGAUGGUCUCAUGUGGAGGCAUCUCUAUAUGAGUAAAGCUUUAUGUGCCGAAGGAGGGGGUUGCGGCCUAUCAGCUGGUUGGCGGGGUAACGGCCCACCAAGGCGACGACGGGUAGCUGGUCUGAGAGGAUGGUCAGCCGGAUU
rnacentral:rRNA from 1 species